CACUAAUGCACCGGAUCCCAUCAGAACUCCGCAGUUAAGCGUGCUUGGGCGAGAGUAGUACUAGGAUGGGUGACCUCCCGGGAAGUCCUCGUGUUGCAUCCC
rnacentral:rRNA from 1 species